AUACCUUUCUCGGCCUUUUGGCUAAGAUCAAGUGUAGUAUCUGUUCUUAUCAGUUUAAUAUCUGAUAUGUGAGCCAUUGGUUCACACGAUAUUAACUCAAUUUUUUAAGGGGGAGAGUCUAUGAAGGUAGCUUGCUACCUGGGCUCUCGACCGUCGUCUAGGCUUUGCACUACAGCCCAGUUCUGGCGCACCCCAC